rnacentral:tRNA from 1 species
GGUCGUGUGUUCUAGUUGGUUAAGAUUCUCGCCUCACACGCGAGAGGUCGCAGGUUCGAGCCCUGCCACGAUCA